UACAGAGGUCCCAAGCGUUGUUCGGAUUCAUUGGGCGUAAAGGGUGCGUAGGCGGCGCGGUAAGUCGGGUGUGAAAUCUCGGAGCUUAACUCCGAAACUGCAUUCGAUACUGCCGUGCUUGAGGACUGGAGAGGAGACUGGAAUUUACGGUGUAGCGGUGAAAUGCGUAGAUAUCGUAAGGAAGACCAGUGGCGAAGGCGGGUCUCUGGGCAACAACUGACGCUGAGGAGCGAAAGCGUGGGGAGCGAACAGG
rnacentral:rRNA from 1 species